AGAGGCCGGGGCACUGGGUGAAAGAGGAGGCCGUGGGGAGGAAGAUGGAAGGAGACUGGAAAAGGAGGAGAAGUCAGGCGAUCAAUAACCGUUGAUGAAGAGACUGCGCGUGUGCCUGGUGCCCGCUGAGUGAUGGGAGAUGGAAGCAAAGGCAGGAAUGGCCUCACUUCAGGGAGGGAGAGCUGCAACGCCGGGAACAACUCAGCAGCAACUGAAUACAAGGACAGUACAUUCAACCAGCUCCCUGGGGAGCUGAAGCGAAACCUGGCCCCCGUGAUCCCAUCCCAGAAGGUGGCUCCUGUCCCAUGAAGCUUGGUGUCACCAGGUUUAGAGAAUCUUGGAUUGGAAGGAAGCCUGGAAGCUUUGAGUCCAGCCCACGUGAGCAUUCCCACUGCAAGUGGUCACCUAGCCAUAGUUCAAAGGCCUCAGAUCACAGAGACAUAAGAAAGGAAUAGAAGAGUGAGGAUUCCUGUUCCAGAGAAGCCCCUCCCCCCCUACAGACUGACCAAUAGGAUUCGGUUUCGUGGUCCUCAAAACUCGGGAGCCUGAUUGAGACCAGAACCUUCUCAGCCUUUGCCACUUCCUGGGUCGUCUGCUCCUAUUUCCAACCUAUCACGUCCGGAUGACUGAUUCCCGGCGUUGGCCACCAGGCGAGUGGGCAUUCUCAUCUUAUCUCAAAUCAACCCAUCAGCGAGCAUUGAUCUCAAAAAUCCCAAGGCCAGGCUAAGGCUAGAAGACAACUCAGCCCCCGAGGGAGGCGUCAGAUACAAAUAAGACCUUUCCUGAUUUUCUUCAGGGCUCCACAUGCCUGGAAAGAAAGAGGCAGCUCCUAACUCAGAUAGACUGGUGCUGGCAAAGACUGGAUUCACAGAGAGGAGACCAGCUGCAAACCUCAUCUUGCUUCUUCAGUAGUGUCGGAAAAUCGCUGAGCCCCCAAAUCUGAGCCUCAGUUUCCCCAGACAUAGAAGGGUCCUUGGAGACCAUCUAACACCUUUGGAGUCUAUGAACUUAUUAUUUUUUAAAUGCAUAUAUUUUGAUAACUGUCCUGUAUUUCAUUUUGUUCAUUUAAAACUUGAUUCCUAGGAGUCACAGGCUUUAUUAGGCUGUCAAAGAGGCCAUGACUCACAAAAAGGUAAAAGCAAGAGGUGGAGGAAGAGACUUCUCACCAGCCUCAGAAAGGACCUAGGAAGCUAAAUGCAAGCCCAUUGAACUAUAGACAAGUGAGCAAAGAGGCCACAAAACAUUUGGGUUAAUACAAAUACUCCUUUUCCUGGGGAGUCUAGGACCUAGGACCAUAGAUUUAUAGCUGAAACAGAUCUCAGAGGCCAUCUAGUUCAGCCCCUUUAUUUUACAGAUGAGGAAACUGAGGACCAGAGAAGUAAAGCCACUUGCGAAGGUCACACAGCUAAAAAGCCUUGCCACCUAGGAGCCGUCUGAGAUUCCUCACUCUCUCUCACUGCCCACAUCCACUAUGGUGCCAGGGCCUGUCGCUUUCACCCCUGCUGGCAUCUCUGGUUGACCUCCCUGGCUUCCUUCAAGUCCCAAUUAAAAUCAGACCUCUUGCAGGAAGCCUCCUCCAGCCUCUCCCAAUUCCUGGCCUUCCGUCUGGUCAUUAUUUCCUAUUUAUCCUGUAUAAAGCCUGCUCAUUGUCCCCCCAUUGGAUCGUGAGCUCCUUGAGGGCAGGGACUUUCUUCUGCCUCUUUUUGGAUCU